GACGAACGCUGGCGGCGUGCCUAAUACAUGCAAGUAGAACGCUGAAGCGAGGAGCUUGCUCUUCUUGGAUGAGUUGCGAACGGGUGAGUAACGCGUAGGUAACCUGCCUUGUAGCGGGGGAUAACUAUUGGAAACGAUAGCUAAUACCGCAUAACAAUGGAUGACACAUGUCAUUUAUUUGAAAGGGGCAAUUGCUCCACUACAAGAUGGACCCGCGUUGUAUUAGCUAGUAGGUGAGGUAAUGGCUCACCUAGGCGACGAUACAUAGCCGACCUGAGAGGGUGAUCGGCCACACUGGGACUGAGACACGGCCCAGACUCCUACGGGAGGCAGCAGUAGGGAAUCUUCGGCAAUGGGGGCAACCCUGACCGAGCAACGCCGCGUGAGUGAAGAAGGUUUUCGGAUCGUAAAGCUCUGUUGUAAGUCAAGAACGGGUGUGAGAGUGGAAAGUUCACACUGUGACGGUAGCUUACCAGAAAGGGACGGCUAACUACGUG
rnacentral:rRNA from 1 species